UCUGGGGUCCCUGUCAGACACUACUAUCACUGGCACUCCAUGUAACCUAACUAUCUCCCAAAUAUACAUUAUCGCUACCUUGUCCAAUGGGUCAAUCAUCUUGAUGGCCAAGAAGUGGAAAGACUUGAUAAGUCAGUUAACAAUCACCCAAAUAGCAUCAUGUCCCGAGCAUUCUCUUUUUAUCUCGUUCUACCAAAAUCGGGAUCGCAUACUUUGAUAUAUCUUAGUGCUUCCAGGAUGCAUGACAAACUUUGAGUUAUAGUGCUCAGUCAUGAUGUCCCUUUUCAACUCACUGUCACAUGGAACACAUACCUUAUCUUGAAAUUUAAGCAACCCAUCGGUAGAGAGUCGAAAUUCUGAAUUUACUUUCUGUUCUGCAUCUUUCUUAAGAGUUGCUAGGAUGGAAUCGGCGGAUUGGACUUCUUUUCUGGUCAAUUUCAGA
rnacentral:lncRNA from 1 species